UGGGCUUUCCUAAUUCAAAUGUAGCCUUAGGGACUCUGUCAACUUCCUCAGAGGAGAAUGUGUCAUCUGGGAUUUGGGCUCGUUAUGCACAGUGAGGAGGCCAAUAUUCUGUGAAACAAAAGAAAUCUGAACAUUUUAAAAGUGGAAACUUUCUUCCAGGCUUGGCAGCAAUUAAUUAGGUGAGGGUGAUGAAAUUGUGUGUGAUCUGUCUCCUCUCAGCUAUUACUGCAGCUUCUCGCUGGACUACACUGACAGCAUCUCUCCUCAGCCACGCCUGCAUUUACCCCUUCUGUCCCCAGGCACCUUGGUGCUCAUUCAAUAGCACACCUGGAAGUGUGAUCAUAGGAACGUCCAGGCCAGAGAGGCAGUCAGGGUCAUCUACCAACGCGCUCAUCAUACAGUCACCAUUCUUUGGCUGCAGUCAACAGAAACCAACUCCAGCUAAUUUACUGGAAGAAUAUAGGGUGGCUCACAGACUUGAAGAAAAAAAUGAAGACUAGGUCUUUGGAAAAACACAAGCCAGGACAGCUAUGGGGUUCCACAAAGCAAGAAUUAAUGAACCACCUCUUUGAGACACAAAACUAAAAGAAUUCCAGUGGUUUUCAGGCUCUACAAGUUCCCAGAGAUGGGGCCUUUGAUUGGUGUAGCUUGGCUUACUGCUUACCUCUCUGCUACCUGAAGGGGGAGCCUGUGAACUGACAGCCCAUCAGCACAGUGCCCAAUGGGGCAGGGGCUCAUCCCCCAAAGUAAAAUUGAGGCACUAUUAACAGAAGAAGAGUGAAAGGUCCCUAGGCAGGCAAAACCCACCGAUGUCUACAGAAGGCAUCUGAAGAACCAGGAAAGUUAGGAACAGGAAGAAGAAGAUCUGUACUUGGGGUUUUCUCAAAGCCUCCUGAUGCGCUCUCCUCCUUCCUUCCAGCUCUGUAUCUAACCUACAGUCAUUGCUCCUCUAUUUUUCAAUUUUAUGCUGAUGCAGAUUAUGUAGAAUUAUAGAUGGUUUGCCAUCAGUUUCUCAUUGCACCAAAAUCAGUAAGAAAAUAUUCAAAAAUUGGGGGAAGUAGGAGUGGAAGAAUCAAUGGCACCUGAGUAAAACAGAGACAAAUCAAGGCAUGGUUUGCCAUGUCUGCACUUAAACAAGUAUUUUGCUAAGUCUGUAUUUGUACAGGCAAUGGUCACAGUUCACCGAUUUACCAAGUCUGAUUCCAUGGAUAAAUUGGUCUCCUUUUGUUUAAUUCAUCAAGUGACUUCUCAUUUAUAAUGUUUCUCCCUUUGUCUCAAUAUGACAAGAGGUCUUGAAGAACCCUUACACAGAAAUGUCAUAUUAUUUGGAUGCCCACGAUGUAAAAGCACCCUCUGCAUUCUGAAUAAUUCUUUUCAAGAAAUAUGUGUUGAAUGCUUGCCACGUACCAGGUGCUGGACUAAGUAAAGAUGUCUUGCCACCAAGAGCACCCCAAAUUUGUUGGAUCUGCUGAAUGUACCCUGAAUGGAUUAGUUGCUGCCUUUCCUGCUUCUCCUCCGCCCACCAUAGGUCAUGGUGCCUGCUUAGCAACACCUAGUGGUCAGCAGAGGGAACUGUCUGAAUCAAUGACGUGUUUAGGUCUUCUCUUACCAGUUAAAGCAAAUGCUCUUCUGCCCUGUCAGGUCCCAUUUCCAGACCAAAUAAUUACAACCUCUUUUGAUAUCUUUUUCAUGUAUGUGUGUCUAGAUUACUUUUAAAAAUCUCGUUUUGUCCCCCUGUUAAUUCUCACAUUUGACCAACACCUUGGAAACAUUCUUAUAGUACCUUUCAUCCCAGGAAAAUUUGACUUUGGAAUGAGCAAAAAAGACAGCUGCAUAUCUCCAAUGGUCUCUCAAAACAAAAUAAUAUUAAAUCUAAAUUUUCCCUACUUCCUUUAUUUGGGUUCAAAUAAUAUGAACAGGAACAGAAUUUAACCCAACUUUAACUUUGAAAUAUAUAGAUCCCUCUUUUUAAGGACAACAAGUAAACAGAAAAUUCAGCAGAUGUGGAGAGAGUUGAUGCUGCAAAGGGAACGCAUUCAUGAAGAAGCUGGACCCAAUCAGGUGCAAUCACAAAACCCCUACUUUUUCUCAGUGCUCCUCACUCUGACAAUCCAUUCUUUCUGAGCCCAUUAGAUGAAAUCUUGGUCAGUUUCCACAUAUUUCCCAAGAACUCUUAGCUUAAAAAAAAAUCUAAAUCAGUCUAAUGAUCAUAUAAGUCUAGUCCAGUGUAAUAUAAAAUACUCCAAGCACUCUUUUUUUAGUUGACAGUCUUCCCUCACUGCCAGUUUGAAAGCUGGAAUGAAAGAGGAAGAUUAAUUAUCAGCUUCUCACCCUGUCCUAUCUCCUUCUCUAACCCUAUUUGCUAAGUUGGACUUUCCGAUCUCUCCAGGGUCUAAGGGACAGAUGUACAUGGUGAAAGAUACAUCAUCAGAGGUGUCCCUCAGUAGAACAUCUGGGACAGCUGCCUUAACGCUUGUGCUUGGGGGGAGGGGAGAGUCUAUUUGCAUCGUGUCUUAAUUCCUCAUUUUUGUACAUCGUUAAAAUUUAAUUUGAAAAAUUCUUUUCAUGAUAACCUAAGGAACCAUGAAUGAUGCCCUAAUAUGCAGACUCCUUUCAAGUAGACUCGUCCUAAGUAGCCUUACUCAUUCAGUUGCCCCAGGUCCAUAGCCCAUUUGGGUCAGCCCUGAACUAGGUCUUGCCUUGCUGGCCAGCCUGGUGCCCCGGCAUGGCAGAUGCACCAUGGCUGGCACUGGACCCAGCUGCCUGAGCUCUAAUCCUAGCUCCACUAUUUCCUGGCCACGUGAUUGGGCAAGUUACUUGGCUUCUUUGUAACUCAGUUUCCUUGUUUAUAGUACUAGGGUAAUAAUAGUCCCCACUUCAUAAACUUGUUAUGAGAAGUAAAUGAAGUAAACUAUGUACAGCUCUUAGAUGAGUGUCUGGUACAUACUAAAUGCUUACUAAAUACUAGCUAUUAUUAGGUUUUUUUUUAAGGUUAAAGUAUAAAUGACAACCUGAAAAAAAUAUUUGGAAUAAGUAUAAAAUACAAAAAGUUACUAUUCAUAACAUAGGACAAACUCUUAUAAAUCUAAUAGAAGAAGGAAAUCGAGGGGCACCUGGGUGACUCAGUUGGUUGAGCAUCUGACUUUGGCUCAGGUCAUGAUCUCAUGGUUCGUGAGUUCGGGCCCUGCAUCAGGCUCACUGCUGUCAGCUCAGGGUCUGCUUCAUGUCCUUUGUCCCCCUCUCUCUCUGCCUCUCUCAACCUCUCUCUCUCUUUCAAAAAUAAAUAAACAUUUAAAAAGAAGAAGAAAAUCCAAGAGAAAAAAUGAUCAAAAGAUAUGGAAAAGCAUUUUACAAAAUAACUGAAAAUUACUAAUGAAGAAAAAAGUGCCCACCUCAGUUGUAAUAAAAGAAAUGCAACUUAAAACAAUUACGAUGUGCCAUAUGUUGCCCUCAGACUUAAAACCAUUUUCAUAUUGGUGAGAACAUGAGGGCACUCCCAUAUACUGUUAGUGAAAAUAGAAAUUAGCAAAAGUCUCUGUGGAGAGCAAUGAGCUAGUACCUCCCAAAUUUUAAAUACAUGCUACGAGACAGACUAACUACAUAUCCCAAGGAUCAUACACUUCCUAUAUUUGCUUAUCCCAGAGAGGACCAUUGACCCUUCUUUAAAAAUGCCCACUCAGUCUCCAAGAUUUCAUUUGUGGUCUGCACCUCAAAUUCUCUAAUUCCUCUCUAAAACCUAUCAGGAGAUCAUGCAUCUUUAAAUUAAUAAACAGAUUUUCCUGCUUAGUAGCGAAAUUAAAUCUAUCUUUCAUUUGAAAAUCUAAAUCCGGGCAUGGUCCACUUUUUCUGUAAAAGGCCAGACAGUAAAUGUUUCCAGUUCUGAGAGUCAUACAAUCUCUGUCACAAUUACUCAACUUUGCUGUUGUAGCACAAAAGCCACUACUGACAAUAUGUAAAUGAACGAGUGUAGUUGUGUUCCAAUAAAACUUUAUUUGUGCA